rnacentral:rRNA from 1 species
UACAGAGGGUGCGAGCGUUAAUCGGAAUUACUGGGCGUAAAGCGUGCGUAGACGGUCAAGUAAGUCGGGUGUGAAAGCCCCGGGCUCAACCUGGGAAUUGCAUUCGAGACUGCGUGGCUAGGGUGCGGAAGAGGGAAGCGGAAUUUCCGGUGUAGCGGUGAAAUGCGUAGAUAUCGGAAGGAACACCAGUGGCGAAAGCGGACUCCUGGUCCAGCACCG